AGUACUUCUCUCCAGAUGUACCAUUUGGCACAUUAAGCAAUUCUUUUCUUAGAAGGGGAACCUAUGGUUUUGCCAUGUAAUGCAAAACACCAAUGGAAUCACUACAUAAGCAAAAUGCCAGUAAUGGUAUAGUGGUCCAGCCACAAACAUUGGAGAACAUGAGUUGUUUCUUUUUAAUUUGACUCUACUAGAUGAAGAUGGGAUUUGGCCUACAAUUUCUUCUGUAGGCCUUGUUGAAGGCCAUCCAAGCAAACAAUCCUGGGCAAAACAUGGUUGUGGAGGUUUACAACUACCCUUGGAGUUGAAGUGGAAAGAGUCACCACCGUGUUGCUGUGAGCUCUGCCAUGCUGCUAGAGCAUGGAGGGGGAACAGGAUGCAUAUUCAAGGCCAUUUCAUGGAGACUAGCAGAGAGAUCAAGAGGAGAAUGGUUCUGGUGCUGAUUCCUGACCCACUGAGAUCCA